AGAGUUUGAUCAUGGCUCAGAGUGAACGCUGGCGGCAGGCCUAACACAUGCAAGUCGAGCGGCAGCGCGGGGGCAACCCUGGCGGCGAGCGGCGGACGGGUGAGGAAUGCAUCGGAAUCUACCUCGUUGUGGGGGAUAACGUAGGGAAACUUACGCUAAUACCGCAUACGACCUACGGGUGAAAGUGGGGGACCGGUAACGGCCUCGCGCUCACGGAGCGGCCGAUGUCCGAUUAGCUUGUUGGUGGGGUAACGGCUCACCAAGGCGACGAUCGGUAGCUGGUCUGAGAGGAUGAUCAGCCACACUGGGACUGAGACACGGCCCAGACUCCUACGGGAGGCAGCAGUGGGGAAUUUUGGACAAUGGGGGCAACCCUGAUCCAGCCAUGCCGCGUGAGUGAAGAAGGCCUUCGGGUUGUAAAGCUCUUUCGGCCGGAACGAAAUCGCCCGGGUGAAUAAUCCGGGUGGAUGACGGUACCGGAAGAAGAAGCACCGGCUAACUACGUGCCAGCAGCCGCGGUAAUACGUAGGGUGCGAGCGUUAAUCGGAAUUACUGGGCGUAAAGCGUGCGCAGGCGGCUCUUCAAGUCAGGUGUGAAAGCCCCGGGCUUAACCUGGGAAUUGCGCUUGAAACUGGGGGGCUAGAGUGUGGCAGAGGGAGGUGGAAUUCCUGGUGUAGCGGUGAAAUGCGUAGAUAUCAGGAGGAACACCGAUGGCGAAGGCAGCCUCCUGGGCCAACACUGACGCUCAGGCACGAAAGCGUGGGGAGUAAACAGGAUUAGAUACCCUAGUAGUCC
rnacentral:rRNA from 1 species